UACGGGGGGGCAAGCGUUGUUCGGAAUACUGGGCGUAAAGGGCUCGUAGGCGGCCAACUAAGUCGGAUGUGAAAUCCCAGGCUCAACCUGGGAACUGCAUUUGAACUGGCGGGCUUGAGUGCGGCAGAGGGGGGUGGAAUUCCGCGUGUAGCAGUGAAAAUGCGGUAGAGAUGCGGAGGAACACCGAUGGCGAAGGCAGCCCCCUGGGCCGACACUGACGCUCAGGCACGGAAAGCGUGGGGAGCAAACAGG
rnacentral:rRNA from 1 species